UACAGGGGGUGCAAACGUUGCUCGGAAUCAUUGGGCGUAAAGCGCACGUAGGCGGUUCGUUAUGUCGGAUGUGAAAGCCCUUGGCUUAACCGAGGAAGUGCAUCCGAAACUGGCGAGCUAGAGUACGAAAGAGGAUCGCGGAAUUCCCGGUGUAGAGGUGAAAUUCGUAGAUAUCGGGAGGAACACCGGUGGCGAAGGCGGCGAGCGGGGUCGAUACUGACGCUGAGGUGCGAAAGCGUGGGGAGCAAACAGG
rnacentral:rRNA from 1 species